rnacentral:rRNA from 1 species
GAGUUGAUCCUGGCUCAGGACGAACGCUGGCGGUGCGCCUUAUGCAUGCAAGUCGAGCGAAGCUUUUCAGUAGUUUACUACAGAAAAUGACUGAGCGGCGAACGGGUGAGUAACGCGUGAGCAAUCUACCUUAGUUACAGGGAUAGCCCGAGGAAACUCGGAUUAAUACCUGAUAUUCUUUACAUUUCGCAUGAAAUCAAAAGGAAAGGUCAGCCGAACUAAGAUGAGCUCGCGUUCUAUCAGCUAGUUGGUGAGGUAAAAGCUCACCAAGGCCACGACGGAUAGCUGGUCUGAGAGGACGAUCAGCCAAAACUGGG